CGGGAGGCAGCAGUGGGGAAUAUUGCACAAUGGGCGAAAGCCUGAUGCAGCGACGCCGCGUGAGGGAUGACGGCCUUCGGGUUGUAAACCUCUUUCAGCAGGGAAGAAGCGCAAGUGACGGUACCUGCAGAAGAAGCGCCGGCUAACUACGUGCCAGCAGCCGCGGUAA
rnacentral:rRNA from 1 species